UCUGUUCUGCAUCUUGCUCUUUAGUUUAACUCAAGCUGUCAGUUCAAGCUUUUACCUCUGGAGGCGUGCCGUUGAUGGAAUCAGAGUUUUCAGAGCCAAGUUCCUCAGGGACUACACAUUUCCACAAUCCAUAGGUUUUGCCUACAGUUGUCUGCCAAAGACGAAGGGU